AUUGAACGCUGGCGGCAGGCCUAACACAUGCAAGUCGAGCGGAUGAAGGGAGCUUGCUCCUGGAUUCAGCGGCGGACGGGUGAGUAAUGCCUAGGAAUCUGCCUGGUAGUGGGGGAUAACGUCCGGAAACGGGCGCUAAUACCGCAUACGUCCUGAGGGGGAAAGUGGGGGAUCUUCGGACCUCACGCUAUCAGAUGAGCCUAGGUCGGAUUAGCUAGUUGGUGGGGUAAAGGCCUACCAAGGCGACGAUCCGUAACUGGUCUGAGAGGAUGAUCAGUCACACUGGAACUGAGACACGGUCCAGACUCCUACGGGAGGCAACAGUGGGGAAUAUUGGACAAUGGGCGAAAGCCUGAUCCAGCCAUGCCGCGUGUGUGAAGAAGGUCUUCGGAUUGUAAAGCACUUUAAGUUGGGAGGAAGGGCAGUAAGUUAAUACCUUGCUGUUUUGACGUUACCAACAGAAUAAGCACCGGCUAACUUCGUG
rnacentral:rRNA from 1 species